rnacentral:lncRNA from 13 species
AUGAGGAGUCGGGUCCGCCGCGCUGGCUGCUGCCGGGCGCUCCCCGGGAGGUUUGGGGCUCCCGCCCGUGCGCCCGCAGCGCAGUGGGUUCGCGGGGAACCGCAGUCCAAGCGCUACGUGGCCAGCCGCGAUCCGGAACGCAGAGGCGAGCUCCCGCCCCGGCCGCGGGAGAAACCGGCGGUGCUGACUCCGCCGGGAUCCCGAAGCAAGUUCCAGGACCCCCGCCCCCCGCGGAGGCGGACCGGCCGCGCCUCGGGUUCCCGGCUCCGGACGCGCAGGGUGCGGGGGAGCCCGAGCGACGCGUCCACAGCCUCACACACCCACCCCCGAAGUUGCAGCACCGUGGCGGGGGGAGUGGCGCAGAGCCGCCCGCGGGCAGCGGGGGGCGGCGGACGGUACUCACGGGGGGUGGCCGGCCUCCUGCAGGUCCGCGCCGGGUCCUCGAUGGCGGCCGGGCUCGGGCCACCGCGCCUCAGGACGCCCGGGCACCUGCCGCAGCGCGGCGCGUGGACCGCAGGCUGCGGGCGGCGAGGAAGGCGCGCGGGUCGGGCUGCGCGCUCAGGCCGGGCUGCAGCACCGCGGGGCUCGGCUGCCAGAACCGCAGCGCAGCGGGAGCCGAGGACCCACCGACAGGAGGCGGGAGCGCGGCGGCGGCUGACAGGGAGGCGCCAGGGCCAGCCGGGCCUCAGCCGCGCCUCAGCAGCCGCCGCCACCCGCGGGCUCGGCCGACAGCCAAUCAGCGGCGCCCGGGGCGGGGCCGGCGGGGGCGGGGCGGGGCGCGUGCGGGGCGAGCGCGCGUGCGCCGGGGCCGGGGGCCCGGCGGGCCGGUUCCUCCGGAGGGAGCACCUCCGGCGCGCGGGCGGCACGCGCGGGGGGGCGGGGCGCACGGGAGGAGGCGGGCGGGGCUGCGCGCGCGGGGCGGGGCGGGGACCCGCGCCCUCCCAGGGCCCUUCCCUGCGGCGCAGUGCGGUGUUGGGGCCGCGGUUCUGGACCCCCAGGUGCGACUCCAGGUCCUGCCCGAGUCUGUCAGGCUUCUGUCCCCGGCCUGAGUGCUGGGCCCGGACCCUCCGAGACCGCAGAGUGACGGGUCGCCAGGAUCCGGGUCCUCCCGACUCCAGACCCAUUGCGGCGCCUCCACCACUGCUCUUCGCACCGCACAAUCCCUGGGCCGUUAAAGCCGCCGCGGCGCGGGAUCUGCAUGGCUUUAAUUCUCCCACGAGUUUACUACGCGGGCGACGCUCAUUCAUUCAUUCAACACGCAGGGAAGGGUUGGCGCUCGGGGAGCUGUCCAGGCUGCUGCGCGCCGGAGCCUCCCAGACCCCCCAUGCCCCCCACAGCUGCGGAGCCGCCGGGUUCGGAGCCCGCGCUGCCAGGAGAACGCCCCAAGACUGGGCAAGUGAGGAGCGCGCUCGGGCCGGGGCCGGGGAGUUCCCGGUCCUAGAAGAAGGACUGGGGGUUGAAAGGUUCUACUCCAGGCCGGGACUUCACUGCGCGUUUGCGUCCAUCAAGCCAGGAAGCAACCCAGCAACUCCGCUGUGA